UGGUGCCGCGCGCUGGGGCGCUUGCUGCGCGCGAGAUGCGCGCGAUGGUGCCGCACGCUAUCGCGCUGGCUGCGGGACAUGUUGCGCGAUCGCGCUGGCUGCGCGCGAGCGCGCGCGCUGCGCGCGAUGGUGCCGCGCUGUGGCGCUUGCUGCGCGAUGGUGCCGCGCGCUGCGCUCUUGCUGCGCGCGAUGGUGCCGCACGCUAUCGCGCUGGCUGCGGGACAUGUUGCCGCGCGCGAUCGCGCUGGCUGCGCGCGAUGGUGCCGCGCGCUGUGGCGCGCUGCGCGCGCGAUGGUGCCGCGCGGGCGCGCAGGUGCCGCACGUUGUUGCCGCGUGAUGGAGCCGCGCGCGGGCGCGCUGGUGCUGCGCGAUUUUGCCGCGCGCCCGCGCGCUGGCUGCGCGCUUCCGCUGGUCAUUUCUCGCACGAAGGGAGGUUAGCUGUGCGGGAAAUGGCCUGCCAAUGCCCACGUGACGAUGCGGCUAAAAAUACCUCUUUUGCCACUCCAAUUUUUUUUCUCUUUCUCUUGAAAAAUUCUUCAUAUUUUUCCUGACCAUGAUGCAAAAAAUCAGACCAAAAUUCAAUAUAUUUUUUUUUUUUUGGGGGUGGGGGUCAGCUCAAGUAUUGGGGUGUCUAUUGCUGCUAGGCCAAGAAUGUUCUAAGACCUCUUUAGGGGGGUAAGGGAUGAGAGGUGCCUAGGUCGGGUGGGGAGCCCCGGCCUUUGUUGGCGUUGGCCUUGCUGCUCGGCCUUGGUGCUUCGGUUUUGGGACGUCUGUCGGAAUGUCGCCGUCGAGCUCGCUCCGGCGUCAUUCCGGCGACUUUCCGGCGACCUUGUUUUUGCGGAAAAAGUAAAUGUGUGCUGCUUUUCGCGUCCGACGGUGCUGGCUUAGCCUUGCUUGGUGCUUCCGUUGACCCGACGGCAAUUGCUUCGGGCAUGCGGGACGCUCGGCAAGGCCGUAGCCAAGUGAACGGCAGGGCGUGUGAGUGGUGAUGGAGGGCAUCAAUCGGCAGGCUCCGUGCUCGUGCACCGAACUGCUCGAAGCCAUCCGCUUCAGUCUUUCCCCAAGUGCAGCUGUUGCCUUGAGGGUGCGUUCGGUAUCCUGUGUUGCUUACCAACAAAACGGAAUUGCUGGUUUCGGUUUUCCCCGUCCGCCUUGUGCCCUUCCGGGUGCGGGGUGGACGCGAGGCGAGCUCCGUGUUCCUGGCGUGCCUCGCGCUCAGACGCUUGGCCGCCUUGGCCCACGAAGUCUCUGCCCGUUCUCUCGGAUGCGGAAUGCUGUGCAUGGACGUGAGGUCUCGGCCUCGAUCGUCCAAGCUACACGCAUCGUCUCUUGACGCGAACGACCGCCGCACCCGUCUUGGC
rnacentral:lncRNA from 1 species